UAAUAUGUGACAACAGUUUCAGUCAAGCAUCAAACUAUUCAUUUCUACCAUGAUAGGCGGUCAUUCACAAUCUCUGCACAUCUACACCAUAAUAGGCAACUAACAAUUUCAUUCAGUGUCAAUCUCUGCAUAUCUACCAUAAUAGGUAGAUUAACAAUUUCAGUCAAGCAUCAAUGUAUUCAUAUAUCUACCAUAAUAGGUAGAUUAACAGUUUCAGUCAAGCAUCAAUUUAUUAAAACAAAAGGUGAUUUAACAAUUUCAUUCAAGCAUCAAUUUAUUCAUAUAUCUUCCACAAAAGGUGAUUUAACAAUUUCAUUCAAGCAUCAAUGUAUUCAUAUAUCUACCCCAAUAGGUAGAUUAACAGUUUCAGUCAAGCAUAAAUGUAUUCAUAUAUCUACCCCAAUGGGUAGAUUAACAGUUUCAGUCAAGCAUCAAUGUAUUCAUAUAUCUACCAUAAUAGGUAGAUUAACAGUUUCAGUCAAGCAUCAAUUUAUUAAAACAAAAGGUGAUUUAACAAUUUCAUUCAAGCAUCAAUGUAUGCAUAUAUCUUCCACAGAAGGUGAUUUAACAAUUUCAGUCAAGCAUCAAUGUAUUCAUAUAUCUACCCCAAUAGGUAGAUUAACAGUUUCAGUCAAGCAUCAAUGUAUU